AAGAAGAACAAGUAGUUGCUGUGGUAAGCUUCUUUGGUAUCUUUCUUUUCUAUUGUCACCCAUGAUUUAUGUGUCAUUUAUGAUUGGAAUGUAUUAAUUGGAAAUGUAUCUUUAAUAAAUAUUUUUUAUCAUAGAUAUAUGAAAUUCUUUCCAUUUAUAAUUUUUGCUAACUUUUCAUUUCUCCAUAUCUUUGAUUCUAUAUUAAACUCUUGACUUUUG
rnacentral:misc_RNA from 1 species